rnacentral:rRNA from 1 species
UGCGUUNUGAACUGGGUGACUAGAGUGUGUCAGAGGGAGGUAGAAUUCNACGUGUAGCAGUGAAAUGCGUAGAGAUGUGGAGGAAUACCGAUGGCGAAGNCAGCCUCCUGGGAUAACACUGACGUUCAUGCCCGAAAGCGUGGGUAGCAAACAGGAUUAGAUACCCUGGUAGUCCACGCCCUAAACGAUGUCGAUUAGCUGUUGGGCAGCAUGACUGCUUAGUAGCGAAGCUAACGCGUGAAAUCGACCGCCUGGGGAGUACGGUCGCAAGAUUAAAACUCAAAGGAAUUGACGGGGACCCGCACAAGCGGUGGAUGAUGUGGAUUAAUUCGAUGCAACGCGAAGAACCUUACCUGGUCUUGACAUGUACGGAACCCUCCAGAGACGGAGGGGUGCCUUCGGGAGCCGUAACACAGGUGCUGCAUGGCUGUCGUCAGCUCGUGUCGUGAGAUGUUGGGUUAAGUCCCGCAACGAGCGCAACCCGUGUCAUUAGUUGCCAUCAUUAAGUUGGGCACUCUAAUGAGACUGCCGGUGACAAGCCGGAGGAAGGUGGGGAUGACGUCAAGUCCUCAUGGCCCUUAUGACCAGGGCUUCACACGUCAUACAAUGGUCGGUACAGAGGGUAGCCAAGCCGCGAGGUGGAGCCAAUCUCACAAAACCGAUCGUAGUCCGGAUUGCACUCUGCGACUCGAGUGCAUGAAGUCGGAAUCGCUAGUAAUCGCAGGUCAGCAUACUGCGGUGAAUACGUUCCCGGGUCUUGUACACACCGCCCGUCACACCAUGGGAGUGGGGGAUACCAGAAGU